UAGGGAAUCUUCCGCAAUGGACGCAAGUCUGACGGAGCAACGCCGCGUGAGUGAAGAAGGUUUUCGGAUCGUAAAACUCUGUUGUUAGAGAAGAACAAGUGCUAGAGUAACUGUUAGCGCCUUGACGGUAUCUAACCAGAAAGCCACGGCUAACUACGUGCCAGCAGCCGCGGUAAUACGUAGGUGGCAAGCGUUGUCCGGAUUUAUUGGGCGUAAAGCGAGCGCAGGCGGUUCCUUAAGUCUGAUGUGAAAGCCCCCGGCUCAACCGGGGAGGGUCAUUGGAAACUGGGGAACUUGAGUGCAGAAGAGGAGAGUGGAAUUCCAUGUGUAGCGGUGAAAUGCGUAGAUAUAUGGAGGAACACCAGUGGCGAAGGCGACUCUCUGGUCUGUAACUGACGCUGAGGCUCGAAAGCGUGGGUAGCAAACAGGACUAGAUACCCCGGUAGUCCACGCCGUAAACGAUGAGUGCUAAGUGUUGGAGGGUUUCCGCCCUUCAGUGCUGCAGUUAACGCAUUAAGCACUCCGCCUGGGGAGUACGACCGCAAGGUUG
rnacentral:rRNA from 1 species